rnacentral:rRNA from 1 species
UGAGGAAUUUUGCGCAAUGGGCGAAAGCCUGACGCAGCAACGCCGCGUGGGUGAUGAAGGCCUUUGGGUCGUAAAGCCCUGUCAAGUGGGAAGAACCCGCAUGGUGCGAAUAAUGCCAUGCGCUGACGGUACCACUGAAGGAAGCACCGGCUAACUCCGUGCCAGCAGCCGCGGUAAUACGGGGGGUGCGAGCGUUAUUCGGAAUCAUUGGGCGUAAAGGGCGCGUAGGUGGCUACCUAAGUCAGGCGUGAAAGCCCGGGGCUUAACCCCGGAAGUGCGUUUGAAACUGGGUGGCUUGAGUAUGGGAGAGGGAAGCGGAAUUCCUGGUGUAGAGGUGAAAUUCGUAGAUAUCAGGAGGAACAUCUGUGGCGAAGGCGGCUUCCUGGACCAAUACUGACGCUCAAGCACGAAGGCGUGGGGAUCAAACA